rnacentral:rRNA from 1 species
AACGAACGCUGGCGGCAGGCCUAACACAUGCAAGUCGAGCGAGGACUUCGGUCCUAGCGGCGGACGGGUGAGUAACGCGUGGGAACGUGCCCUUUGCUUCGGAAUAGCCCUGGGAAACUGGGAGUAAUACCGGAUGAGCCCUUUGGGGGAAAGAUUUAUCGGCGAAGGAUCGGCCCGCGUUGGAUUAGGUAGUUGGUGGGGUAAUGGCCUACCAAGCCGACGAUCCAUAGCUGGUUUGAGAGGAUGAUCAGCCACACUGGGACUGAGACACGGCCCAGACUCCUACGGGAGGAAGCAGUGGGGAAUCUUAGACAAUGGGGGAAACCCUGAUCGAGCCAUGCCGCGUGAGCGAUGAAGGCCUUAGGGUUGUAAAGCUCUUUCAGCUGGGAAGAUAAUGACGGUACCAGCAGAAGAAGCCCCGGCUAACUCCGUG